AAUAAGAUUUAUUUUAUCUUAAAAAUUGAAUAUAUUUUUAUAGUUAUAUGUAAAAUUUUUUUUUGAGGAAAUAGCAGUAAUUAGAUUUAAUUAUUAAAGAAAUUUAGAAUUAGUAAUAAAUAUUUAUAUUAACAAAAUUUGUGCCAGCAGUUGCGGUUAUACAAAUAAUAUAAUUUAAUUUUUUUAAUAUUAAUUAGUUGAAUAAAGUUUAAUUUUAAUAGGUAGUUUAUAGGGUGAAAUUUUAAAUUAUUAUUAAAAUUAAUAUAUUUAAAUGAAUGUAUGAAAAUUAAAAUUAAAACUAGGAUUAGAUACCCUAUUAUUUUAAAUGUAUUUUUUUUAUUAGAUUAGUAGUAGUUAUGUUCUUGAAAAUUAAAAAUUUUGGCGGUAUUUUAUUCUAAUCAGAGGAACCUGUUGUAUAAAUGAUAUUCCACGAUUAAAUUUACUUUUAUUAUUAGUUUACAUAUCGUCGUAGUUAAAUAUUUUUUUAGAAUGAAAAAUAUUUAUGAUUUUUAAUUAAAAAAUAAAUCAGAUCAAGGUGUAGUUUAUAUAAAAGUAUUAAUGGGUUACAAAAAAAAUAUUUAAGGAUAAUUAUUUUUAAUAGUAAUUUGAAUAUGGAUUUGUUAGUAAAAUUUUUUAUUUUAAAAUUUUGAUUUUAGAUAUAAAGUAUGUACAUAUUGCCCGUCGCUUUCAUUUAAAGUGAAAUAAGUCGUAACAUAGUAGACUUACCGGAAGGUGUGUCUAGAUUCAA
rnacentral:ncRNA from 1 species